AUUGAACGCUGGCGGAAUGCUUUACACAUGCAAGUCGAACGGCAGCACAGGUGCUUGCACCUGGUGGCGAGUGGCGAACGGGUGAGUAAUACAUCGGAACGUGCCCAGACGUGGGGGAUAGCUCGGCGAAAGCCGAAUUAAUACCGCAUACGAUCUACGGAUGAAAGCGGGGGAUCGCAAGACCUCGCGCGUUUGGAGCGGCCGAUGGCAGAUUAGGUAGUUGGUGGGGUAAAGGCUUACCAAGCCUGCGAUCUGUAGCUGGUCUGAGAGGACGACCAGCCACACUGGGACUGAGACACGGCCCAGACUCCUACGGGAGGCAGCAGUGGGGAAUUUUGGACAAUGGGCGAAAGCCUGAUCCAGCCAUUCCGCGUGCAGGAUGAAGGCCCUCGGGUUGUAAACUGCUUUUGUACGGAACGAAAAGCCCUCUUCUAAUACAGGGGGUCAUGACGGUACCGUAAGAAUAAGCACCGGCUAACUACGUGCCAGCAGCCG
rnacentral:rRNA from 1 species